CAAUGUCUAUUUUCCCCCUUGUUCAAGAACAUCAGGGCAGUUUUUUGGAUGAAUUCUUGCAGUAUGAUGUCAAGAUUUCUUUUUAUUUCUGGCUUUUCAGGAAAAACAUAGAAAUUAUUAAUAGAGAUGAAUGGACUAAAAGAGGAAAUGUGAUGCAAAAGAAAACACACUGGACAGGAUGUCAUGCGAAUUGAGUUUAUUUCUGUGGCUUCACUCUAUGUGACCUUGGGAUCUUAUUUCAUGGAAAUAUCCUGAAUUUGGGAGUAGACAAUAUGGGCAAUAUGACAGUUUCUUUUUGAGAUUCACUUCUGUUACAGAGAAAUUAAUUAAGCUGUUGAAUAGCAUAUAUCUGUUGAACUAGGUAUUGUGAAGAUGGUGACUACUGGAGAAGAAUAAGGUAGAGAGAGGAUACAGAUGACAAAUUCAUGGGCUUUGGAAGAGAAAUCCUCUCCUCUCUGUGCCAGGUUAUGGCAGUCGAGAUUUGUUCAUGAGGAAUAAUAACUCUUCUAGGAAAGGUUUCUUUUAACUUGCCCUUUGUGUUCCCCUUACAUCACAACUAUUUAAAUUAAAUUGAGCAACAAUGGAACUAUUAACAUAUAAUUCUGCCUUAUUCUAGGAUGGAGAUGGGGGAUGGAUGAGUGAAAG
rnacentral:lncRNA from 1 species